GGUACAUAAAAUAAUGGUGUGUCUCACAGCAACGGGCAUCUCAAGAGACAAUGAAAAAUGGUGAUGUGACAGAGGUGGUUCUCACUCUGUUGUCCAGGCUGGAAUGCAGUGGCGCCAUCUCAGCUCACUGCAACCUCUGCCUCUUGGUCUCAAGAGAUGCCCCCAUCUCAGCCUCCCAAGUAACUGGGACUACAGGUCUGUGGCUUCAGAAGUGAUGUGCCCUCUUUAAUUUCAGG